rnacentral:rRNA from 1 species
UACAGAGGUCUCGAGCGUUAGGCGGAAUCACUGGGCUUAAAGCGUGUGUAGGCGGAUCGUUAAGUACCUUGUGAAAUCCCACGGCUUAACCGUGGAACUGCUUGGUAUACUGGCGGUCUUGAGCCAGCUAGGGCUACCGGAACAAAUGGUGGAGCGGUGAAAUGCGUAGAUAUCAUUUGGAACGCCAAUGGUGAAAACAGGUAGCUGGGGCUGUGCUGACGCUGAGACACGAAAGCCAGGGGAGCAAACGGG